UACGGAGGGUGCAAGCGUUAUCCGGAUUCACUGGGUUUAAAGGGUGCGUAGGCGGGCAUUUAAGUCAGUGGUGAAAUACCUGAGCUUAACUUGGGAACUGCCAUUGAUACUAUUUGUCUUGAAUGUCGUGGAGGUUAGCGGAAUAUGUCAUGUAGCGGUGAAAUGCUUAGAUAUGACAUAGAACACCUAUUGCGAAGGCAGCUAACUACGCGAAUAUUGACGCUGAGGCACGAAAGCGUGGGGAUCAAACAGGAUUAGAAACCCUAGUAGUCC
rnacentral:rRNA from 1 species